rnacentral:rRNA from 1 species
UACGGUAGGCAGCAAGCGUUGUUCGGAGUUACUGGGCGUAAAGGGUGUGUAGGCGGUUCUUUUAAGUUUGGUGUGAAAUCUCCCGGCUCAACUGGGAGGGUGCGCCGAAUACUGAGGGACUUCGAGUGCGGGAGAGGAAAGUGGAAUUCCUGGUGUAGCGGUGAAAUGCGCAGAUAUCAGGAGGAACACCGGUGGCGAAGGCGGGUCUCUGGAACGCAACUGACGCUGAGACGCGAAAGCGUGGGGAGCAAACAGG